UACAGAGGGUGCGAGCGUUGUUCGGAAUUAUUGGGCGUAAAGGGUGCGUAGGCGGUGCCACAAGUCACUUGUGAAAUCCCCGGGCUUAACCUGGGAACUGCAUUUGUGACUGGCGAGCUAGAGUAUGGCAGAGGGGGGUAGAAUUCCACGUGUAGCAGUGAAAUGCGUAGAGAUGUGGAGGAAUACCGAUGGCGAAGGCAGCCCCCUGGGCCAAUACUGACGCUCAUGCACGAAAGCGUGGGGAGCAAACAG
rnacentral:rRNA from 1 species